rnacentral:rRNA from 1 species
AGCAGCCGCGGUAAUUCCAGCUCCAAUAGCGUAUAUUAAAGUUGUUGCAGUUAAAAAGCUCGUAGUUGAAUUUCGGGAUCAAUGUUUCGGUCAUGCCGUUGGUAUGUACUGAUAUUAUUGGUUUCUCACCUUCUAAAGAACCGUAAUGCCAUUAAUUUGGUGUCACGGGGAAUUAGGACUGUUGCCUUGAAAAAAUUAGAGUGUUUAAAGCAGGCUCACGCUUGAAUACAUUAGCAUGGAAUAAUGAAAUAGGACAUCCGAUUCUAUUUUGUUGGUUUCUAGGAUCGAUGUAAUGAUUAAUAGGGAUAGUUGGGGGCAUUAGUAUUCAAUUGUCAGAGGUGAAAUUCUUGGAUUUAUUGAAGACUAACUACUGCGAAAGCAUUUGCCAAGGAUGUUUUCAUUAAUCAAGAACGAAAGUUAGGGGAUCGAAGACGAUCAGAUACCGUCGUAGUCUUAACCAUAAACUAUGCCGACUAGGGAUCGGAUGAUGUUAAUUUUUUAAUGACUCA